UACGAGGGGGGCGAGCGUUGUUCGGAAUUAUUGGGCGUAAAGGGUGCGUAGGCGGUUUGGUAAGUCUGAUGUGAAAUCUAUGGGCUCAACUCAUAGUCUGCAUCGGAAACUGCCGGGCUUGAGUGUGGGAGAGGUGAGUGGAAUUCCUGGUGUAGCGGUGAAAUGCGUAGAUAUCAGGAGGAACACCUGUGGCGAAAGCGGCUCACUGGACCAUAACUGACGCUGAUGCAGAACGAACUAGGGGAGCAAACAGG
rnacentral:rRNA from 1 species